rnacentral:rRNA from 1 species
UACGUAGGGUGCAAGCGUUAAUCGGAAUUACUGGGCGUAAAGCGUGCGCAGGCGGUUGUGCAAGACAGAUGUGAAAUCCCCGGGCUCAACCUGGGAAUUGCAUUUGUGACUGCACGGCUAGAGUGUGUCAGGAGGGGGGUAGAAUUCCACUUGUAGGCAGUGAAAUGCGUAGAGAUAGUGGAGGAAUACCGAUGGCGAAGGCAGCCCCCUGGGAUCAACACUAGACGCUCCAUGGCACGAAAGGCGUGGGGAGCAAACAG